AUCAAAACGACUUGCAUUUUCAGGUGAGAAAUGAACGGAAACUGAAAACAAAACCCAUAAUAUGCCAACUAUCCAACAAACAUUCAAAUAUUGUUAAACAAAAAAGAAGACGAGGACAUUUAUUACAACAAGUAAACAGACAAGUCCUAUACCAUAAAAUGAAUGCCAGAAAAUAGAACAGAGAAACAUCAGGCAGGUACUUAAAAGACUUGAACUACAUAAAAAAGAUUGCAGAGAAUGAUUUUAAGGAAAAGACAUAUGGACCAGUAUGAAGAACAAUUAAUAUAGGCUGGUGUCAUUGCAGCAAAAGGAGAUAGUAUACAACAUGUGGGAAAGGGGCCUUAGAAGUCAUGUAGUUCAAAUGCUUCAUCUUACUUAUCCAAGGUGACAAAAUUCAAAUAAUUUGAAGAGAAAUCUGAGAAAAUGCUGGAAGGAAUCUAACCUUCAUUCUGUAGACAAUAAGGAAAGGUUCUGAGCCAAAGUAAUAAUCACAACUGUAUUAAAGAUGCUGACAUAUG